rnacentral:tRNA from 1 species
CAGGGCGUAGCUAUAAUCCAAAGCAUUCAGCUUACACCUGAAAGAUGCCUACCACCCACCUAGGUCGCCCUGA